rnacentral:lncRNA from 1 species
ACAUUUUGUUUGAUGUUCUAGCCUCUAAUGUAACCGCACCACAGAGAAUUACAAAAUAAUACCUCAUAAAUUAAAAAAUGUGUAUAUACAACUCAAAUCAAAUCCAACACCUACCAGAUUUGAGUACUAUACUAAGAACACAAUAUCAUUAAUUUUCCUAUAUCAUUCUGAAUUAGAGAAUUUUUUUUACAUAAUUGAGCAAUUCAAAAGUGUAGCAGUAGCUGCAGCUGCAGUUGAUGCCAUAACAUCGCUAUUGAUUGAACAUUCACAGCAGAACUAACCACUACCACUGAUGUAAGAUGCUCGCGCUCAACUCCCAUAGCCUCAAUAGCUUCAACACACUGUAUUGCUACCAAUGUUGAAGCAGAACCAUAGCCAUAUCAGUUUUCGCCAUGUGCUCAUCCUUUCCGCCACCAGAUGAGGCUGUUGUAGCUGCUGCAAUAGAAACAACACCAGCAGCAACUCCUGCAACCGACACAACAGCAUGAAGUUGUGAAUUAUGUGCCCUCAUCUCCUAUUUUUUCUUCUCCCUCCUAUCCUUUAACCACUUACCCACCAUCUUCCCUUCUUUACCACCACCACCAAUAACAGCCGAGCUAGUAGCAGCAACACUACUCCUGUACUGGUUAUAAAUUGGUACAUUAUUCAGAUGACUGUAUUGAAGAUGACAAAUUAAACUUUUGGAGUCUCAACUGGAAGUCAAAGUUAUGAAAACCUUCGAUAGUUUCUUACCAAGUCAAUUGAGUUGCAUCAGUCAUGCCGACGUCCCGAAGGAACCUGCGAAUUGAAUUGAGAAUCAAGUAAGGAAGGCCAUAAUUUGAUUAUUUGGAGAGAGCAUGAGAGAUGAUAAUAUGGUUUCUUAAAAGGAGAAGAAAAUAUAAAAUUCUGUAGUAUAACGCAAGCUCCGGAAGACAUUGGAGAUGCUUAAGCUAUUUAGAGACAGUUCAGCAAUAGAAAGCUCUUUACAGACUGUCCAGCAAUUAAAAUUAUCUGGCAACUGGAUUAAUGAGGCAUCAACUAAAAAAUCUUUGAAACACCACCAGAACGAUUUCAUUUAUGCUCAAAUCAAAGGUGUAAAUUUUAAAAUGUACAUUCAGCAAUGAGACACUGAGGCUAACUUUUUAGUUGUUACAGGCGAAUAGAUGCACAUAAUUAUGAAAUCCGAACCUAUACGUUCAUGCUUAACGAACUCUUGAAGACUGCAAAACUCGUAAAUACAUGGCUAUCUACUCUAGUUUGAUCAUUCAAAUUAGAAUCUACUGCAUUAAUAAAAGGGUAAAUUACACUAAACACCCCUGUAAAAUAAACUUUCAAAGUUCGGAAAGCUUCAGCAGUAAAUUGAGUUUAGCUACUUAUGGUAAGGUUUACCCAAUUGAAUGGUAGGCAAAUUCGAGUAUUUGUUGGCUUUAUAGGGAAUCAUUUAGGUUAUCGAGCUCAACCUGUUGGGACAAUAAAGAUCAGGUCAACCUUAACUCUAUUAGAUAUCAGUUCAGAAAGGAAGGGAAAAAGAAUGGCUUAGCUCAGUGAAACAAAGCUAGAUCUGUGAAGAAGGAGUUGAAGAAGUCUUCAUGAGGUAUCUAUUUCAUGACAUUGUAUGACGUUGUGAUGUCUUAGGUGAAAUCAGUCCAAACUCAACCCCAAGAUAGAGAUGAGUUAGGUUUCAUGAUGAUAAGCUCGUAACAAACCUCUCCAUAAGCGUUACUCUUCAACGGCGGCCAUGAAUGAUCGACGAAGAUGAAGAGAUCACAGCAUUGAACUUUCCAUCCUCAGCUGUCUGCUUGAUUAUUGAUGGUAGGUGUUAAGUUACGAAAAUACCCUUGAUGUUGGUAUUAUUUACCAAAAUACCCUUCGUCGUAAACCAGAUGCAGGUGUCCCCACAUGUUAAAUCGCGUGAGAUUUAUAUGCAAGAUGCA